AACGAACGCUGGCGGCAUGCCUAACACAUGCAAGUCGAACGAGACCUUCGGGUCUAGUGGCGCACGGGUGCGUAACGCGUGGGAACCUGCCCUUAGGUUCGGAAUAACUCUCCGAAAGGGGUGCUAAUACCGGAUAAUGUCUUCGGACCAAAGAUUUAUCGCCUUUGGAUGGGCCCGCGUUGGAUUAGCUAGUUGGUAGGGUAAAAGCCUACCAAGGCGACGAUCCAUAGCUGGUCUGAGAGGAUGGUCAGCCACACUGGGACUGAGACACGGCCCAGACUCCUACGGGAGGCAGCAGUGGGGAAUAUUGGAAAAUGGGCGAAAGCCUGAUCCAGCAAUGCCGCGUGAGUGAUGAAGGCCUUAGGGUUGUAAAGCUCUAUUACCCGGGAUGAUAAUGACAGUACCGGGAGAAUAAGCUCCGGCUAACUCCGUG
rnacentral:rRNA from 1 species